rfam:Nosema ceranae BRL01 Nc000054, whole genome shotgun sequence.
GGACACAUAGCUCAACGGCAGAGCGUCAGUCUACGGAACUGAAGGUUAAGGGUUCGAAUCCCUUUGUGUUCG